rnacentral:pre_miRNA from 1 species
AUUCCCUGGGGAGGUUGUUAGAAUGCAGAUUCUGAUCCAGUAGCUCUGAGGUAGAGCCCAAGAUUCUGCAUUUUUAACAAGCUCCCAGGGGAUGCUGC